rnacentral:rRNA from 1 species
AAGCGGAGGAAAAGAAACCAACAGGGAUUGCCUCAGUAACGGCGAGUGAAGCGGCAAAAGCUCAAAUUUGAAACCCUCGGGAUUGUAAUUUGAAGAUUUGGCAUUGGAGAAAGCUAACCCAAGUUGCUUGGAAUAGUACGUCAUAGAGGGUGACAACCCCGUCUGGCUAACCGUUCUCCAUGUAUUGCCUUAUCAAAGAGUCGAGUUGUUUGGGAAUGCAGCUCAAAGUGGGUGGUAAACUCCAUCUAAAGCUAAAUACUGGUGAGAGACCGAUAGCGAACAAGUACUGUGAAGGAAAGGUGAAAAGAACUUUGAAAAGAGAGUGAAAUAGUAUGUGAAAUUGUUGAUAGGGAAGGAAAUGAGUGGAGAGUGGCCGAGGUUUCAGCCGCCCCUCGUGGGCGGUGUACUGCCGACGCCGAGUCAUCGAUAGCGAGACGAGGGUUACAAAUGGGAGCGCCUUUCGGGCGUUCUCCCCUAACCCUCCACACUGCCACCGACGACAUAAUCCACCCAUUUCACCCGUCUUG